rnacentral:lncRNA from 1 species
UGACACUGAGUAGGUUGACAGAAGGAGCAGGAGGAAAGACACAGAAAUGACAAGACUGGAAUUCAGUGGCACACCAGCAUCUGACUCUCAUGGGCACAGGGACAUCCCAGACAGCUGUUGGCUGAGCCCAUUUGAUUUUUCUUUUUUUCCUUUUGCAAAUCCUCAUCCAACUAUUUUUCAGCACCAAGACUCAAAGCUCUAGCCAGACAAGACAGCCCGGAAGACAGAGAUUUCCAGCGCAAGCUCCCCUGACUGAUGUGUGCGCUCCGUACACUGCCCUGACCUCAGGGCAGAAAGCUCACAAUGUGACUCUGAAGAGUCAGAGGGUCCGCACGAUUUUCCUGCCCUACUUGCUGUGUGACCUCUGCCAGAACAUGUCACCUCUCUAUUCUCUCAGAUGGGGGAGUGAUACCAAUUGGUUCCCAAAGACCUUUCCAGGCUUCCCCCCCUGAGUACUCCACCGAACCAGUUAGAGCCUCUGCAGACUGGCCACAUGAUGGAAUGAAGAAAAAAAAAAAGGAAACCAAAUAAGAAAGAUUCA